rnacentral:rRNA from 1 species
AUUGAACGCUGGCGGCAGGCUUAACACAUGCAAGUCGAGCGGAGACUUCGGUCUUAGCGGCGAACGGGUGAGUAAUACCUAGGAAUCUGCCUAUUAGUGGGGGAUAACGGCUCGAAAGGGUCGCUAAUACCGCAUACGUCCUACGGGAGAAAGAGGGGGAUCUUCGGACCUCUUGCUAAUAGAUGAGCCUAGGCCGGAUUAGCUAGUUGGUAGGGUAAAGGCCUACCAAGGCGACGAUCCGUAGCUGGUCUGAGAGGAUGAUCAGCCACACUGGAACUGAGACACGGUCCAGACUCCUACGGGAGGCAGCAGUGGGGAAUAUUGGACAAUGGGGGCAACCCUGAUCCAGCCAUGCCGCGUGUGUGAAGAAGGCCUCGGUUGUAAGCACUUUAAGUACGAGGAGGAAGGU